rnacentral:misc_RNA from 1 species
GAUGAAGAACGCAGCGAAAUGCGAUACGUAAUGUGAAUUGCAAAUUCAGUGAAUCAUCGAGUCUUUGAACGCACAUUGCGCCCCCUGGUAUUCCGGGGGGCAUGCCUGUCCGAGCGUCAUUGCUGCCCCCAAGCACGGCUUGUGUGUUGGGCCCCGUCCUCCGAUCCCGGGGGACGGGCCCGAAAGGCAGCGGCGGCACCGCGUCCGGUCCUCGAGCGUAUGGGGCUUUGUCACCCGCUCUGUAGGCCCGGCCGGCGCUUGCCGAUCAACCCAAAUUUUUAUCCAGGUUGACCUCGGAUCAGGUAGGGAUACCCGCUGAACUUAAGCAUAUCAAUAAGCGGAGGA